rnacentral:lncRNA from 1 species
CUCACGCCAGUAUAUCCUGAGCAACACACACGGGGGGUUGGUUCAGGCCAAGGCCAUCUCAGGCCAGGGUCAUUUCAUGCCCGUUUGGCGCUCAGACCGACCGGGAAUUCGGCGCAUUCUAUGCUCCUAGUGUAGGUUUGAAUCCUUGGCAAGCGCGAGCUGCUUGGGGGGUACUUGCUAUGCGAUUCAAGACAUGUCACUUUGAUGCGUCGACAGCUUCGCACGUAUACGUCAGUAGCUCAGUUGCCUUCUAGUCCGCACGGCAGCAUCGAAAGCAAUACGUUCAAGCUUAUGCUCGAGCGUGGACCAACGCCAGUUCGCUAGCGAGGCUGAGUCGAACCCUAGUUGCUGACCCUCAAACUUACCGCGAUGCAAACGUCUGCGCAGGAGACCUCGUCGACCGCGACUUCCGCGCCCGUCUCCGCGCGGCUUCCUGAGCGGGCCUUCCUGAGCGCCCGCGUGCCGCGAGGGGUAGCGAUGCGCAAUCCUCGGAGCCACAC